rnacentral:rRNA from 1 species
AUACGGAGGAUGCGAGCGUUAUCCGGAUUUAUUGGGUUUAAAGGGAGCGUAGGUGGGAUAUUAAGUCAGCUGUGAAAGUUUGGGGCUCAACCUUAAAAUUGCAGUUGAUACUGGUUUCCUUGAGUACGGUACAGGUGGGCGGAAUUCGUGGUGUAGCGGUGAAAUGCUUAGAUAUCACGAAGAACUCCGAUCGCGAAGGCAGCUCACCGGGCCGGAACUGACACUGAUGCUCGAAAGUGCGGGUAUCAAACAGGAUUAGAUACCCUGGUAGUCCGCACAGUAAACGAUGAAUACUCGCUGUUUGCGAUACACGGUAAGCGGCCAAGCGAAAGCGUUAAGUAUUCCACCUGGGGAGUACGCCGGCAACGGUGAAACUUAAAGGAAUCGACGGGG